rnacentral:lncRNA from 1 species
UUUGAAUAUAUUACUGCCCACAUAAGGUGUUCUUUUGUUUGUUUGUUUUCCCAUUACAAGUGUGAGCCACCGCGCCCGGCUUUUUUUUUUUUUUUUGAGACGGAGUCUCGCUCUGUCGCCCAGGCUGGAGCACAGUGGCGCGAUCUCGGCUCACUCCAAGCUCCGACUCCCGGGUUCACACCAUUCUCCUGCCUCAGCCUCCCGAGUAGCUGGGACUACAGGCGCCCGCCACCACGCCUGGCUAAUUUUUUUUAUUUUUAUUUUUAGUAGAGACGGGG